GGCAGCUACAUGGCGACAUGAUGCUAUCUCCAAACCGCUCUCAGUUCGGAUCGGAGUCUGCAACUCGACUCCGUGAAGCUGGAUUCGCUAGUAAUCGCGCAUCAGCCACGGCGCGGUGAAUACGUUCCCGGGCCUUGUACACACCGCCCGUCAAGCCAUGGAAGCCGGGGGUACCUGAAGUCCGUAACCGCAAGGAGCGGCCUAGGGUAAACUNNNNCUGGGGCUAAGUCGUA
rnacentral:rRNA from 1 species